AGGUAAGUUGGAAGGUCAUGAAAUAAUGUAAUAGAUGUUUAGGGGGCUGGAAAACAUCUAUAACAUGCUUCAUUAAAAAUUACAAAGUUGUCAGAACUACCAACCUUAUAAUAGACGUUGAGUUGUAGUAUAUUUCUUCUAUAUUC